rnacentral:lncRNA from 1 species
CACAAAUCAAACAUUUUGUAAGUUACAGAUUAUUUCGAGAUCACAAAUAAAAAAUUCUAUAGGUAUCAUAAAUAAAAAAUUCUAUAAGUAACAGAUUAUCAAACUUUAAUGUCACAGACCAAAAUGAGGUCACAAAUUAUUUUUUUGUCAUAGAUUAUCAAAUUUUAAGGUCACAGACCAAUUCAUUGGUCACAUAUACCAAACACUCCAUUCUCGAUCCUAAUCCACUACCAAUAAUUGGUCAUAGAGCAAUCAAAUAGUUGGUCACAAUCACUAUUACACCCCGCCCCUGUCACAACACCACCUACAACAAUCGCCACCACCAGAUCCAAUUAGCUGCCAACAAAAACCAUGGCAAUCGACUCCAUCAGCUCUCUAGCCACCACCAACCACCUCCACCGUUGCCAAAAGCCACCACGACCAUUACCACAUACACACCAGCAAUACCUAACCCGUAAUGUCUCCACCACCAGGAACAACCACAGCACAGCCAAAACAACCACCAAACACACCCAAUAAUGCACCUUCCAAUCUCACCAACACCACCCAAAUCAUCGCUGUCAAGUGCCAACACAAGCAUUGUUGCUACAUUACCACCACCGCCGUCCUACCCAGAUCCGCCCUACCACAACACUACCACCGUCGCCUGCACCACACCACACACCACACAACCGUCGCCACCCACAGAUCCCCUCCACAAAACCACAAUAAAAACAACCACCACCAUACAACCAUCGCUUAUACCACACCACCACACAACAUUUGCCUUUACAUCAAAUAACCACCCACAAAUUAGAAAUAUCUACACCACCACCACUUUAUCAAACAUUGAAAUCCUAAAUCACCACCUGCACAUCAGAUAACCACCCACUGAUUAGAGUACCUACACCACCACUGCCUUAUCGAACACUGAAAUCCGAUACAUAAGCUGACCCACCGGCUUCAACUCGGAAUUAUGAACUGGUAUUGCUUGAACUAGGCUUAUCGUCCAUCGCCACAUCCACACAGAAGCCAAGCAAAUGCAAAAGCAUCAGAGAAAACCAUGAAUCACCUCAAUCUGUAUGUACCGACGAAACCACGGAUCUGGGCGUAGAGGCGUCGACGCUAGAAUUGUACGCUGCUUGCUGCUCCUAGGGGCGAGCUUCGAUGUGGUCUUCGGCGAUGAUGGCCAUAUGUGACGGGGAGGGAGAGAGAGAGAGAGAGAGAUGAUGGGAAGAAGACAGAAAUUAGGGAAGAAAAUAAUAAGGGUUUUAAUUGGGUGGAUGGAAUAUGGUG